CGAAUACCACUGUCAUCAUCCUUAUCCUUAACACCGUGGAGCGUAGCGUAGAGAGCAGAAGGUCAGGAGAUCUUCGAUCCGGCUCGGCAGCCUGACGUCUUCCUGGAGGUGGCUCCAUCCAGCCUGGUCAAUCACAGUAGAUAGAAUCCCCUCAGCCUCCCCUGAACCUCACAGUCGGACUCUGUGGAAAACGUCGACAACGCUUGAAGUAUCUGCUCAUCUAAGGAAUAUGGAACCGGUCCGCUUCCCAAAGAAGGAGCGGCACUGAUGGAGAAGGAAUCAUUCUUGGGCAUGGGUCGGGGGGAGAGGGUAAAGAAAAAGAGUGGAAUCUGGGGAAAAAUACUCAUUUGUUAAACGGUA